CUCUGGUUCGCUCAGUUGGUAGAGCGCUCCACUAGAAAUGGAGAGGUCCCGCGGGUUCGAUACCCAGACCAGACA
rnacentral:tRNA from 2 species